rnacentral:lncRNA from 1 species
GCAACCUCCUCGCCGCUGCAGGCUGCGAGACCACGUCUAGAAGCAGGACGGUAGCCAGAACGCAAAGAAGGGUGGCUGAGGAUCUGUACGCCGCCAUCCUUGAGGUGGUCUCUCGAGAGCUGAUCGUGAUCGGCUGCAACGCACAUAUCGAGCUGUCAGGAUCUCAGAUAUCGGUCCCAUUGAAUGAUUCCCAGUAUUAUAGGAAGUAAAUACAUAUUUGCACAUUCCAUCGGUUUUCAGACAGACGCCCUGAAUGGGCAGCCCUAAUUUAGGGCGUCUUGCACGCAUGCCGAAGACCUACGCAAAGGCGUCUUGAAGAGAGAAGUAUAUCAAGGCUGGCGAUGGGCCAAAGUACGAUUUUAUAAAUGAUCAAUCAUCGGGAUCCCCACCUUACCUUUCGCGAUCGCUGUUUUAGUUGUGUUUGGCUCAGUAUGAUCUCACCCUCGGAGUGCCAUCGACGUUCCCCUAGCGAGUUCUAUUGGAGUUUCGAUACCCACAGGCCUUAGGCACGUUAAAAGCUGUAAAUCGUCUAAGUCCUCCUGUCUCUCAAUGUGGACGUUUCCAGAAUUGUGAUCAUGAGA